rnacentral:rRNA from 1 species
UACGUAGGUGGCAAGCGUUGUCCGGAAUGACUGGGCGUAAAGGGUGCGUAGGCGGCUAUUCAAGUUAGUAGUGAAAUCCCGAGGCUCAACUUCGGUGCUACUACUAAGACUGUUUAGCUUGAGUGCAGGAGGGGCAAGUGGAAUUCCUAGUGUAGCGGUGGAAUGCGUAGAUAUUAGGAGGAACACCAGUGGCGAAGGCGACUUGCUGGACUGUAACUGACGCUGAGGUACGAAAGCGUGGGGAGCAA